GGGUCAUGUCAUCCAGGGCCAAGAUGGAAGAGAGCUGAAUGGUAGCAUCUAGUAACAGGUGCAAAACGUGAUUCUUCCCUGCCAACCCACGAACCUGCAAAAGUUCCAGCACGGGAGUCCUAACCCUCCUGCUUCAGGCUGAGUUCCUUGAAAACCUGCAGGUUUUACUUGAGGGCAUCCUGUGAGAUCCAAUUUUCUUGAAGAUUCAGGUGCCAGGAAUCUGGGCUCAGCCACCAGCUUCAAGCCAUACUCACUAUUUCUCCCCGGAGGCCCAGGAGGCCUUGUGCAAACAGGAUCCUGGAAGCUUUGCUCUCCCAGAGCUGCUGUCUUAGUUUGGGUUCCCUCAGACCCUCAGACAAUUGUUUGAGUACAAGUAGUUUCUUGAGACAGUGAGCACAGGAAACUAAUCAGAGGAUGAAAGAGGCCAGUGAAGAGCAUGUUUUCAAACAGUUCACCAUCAUGGGCAACUGCAGCUGAAUUCCACUCGGAGCAGUGUAGAAUAUACACAUUAGCGUCAUCCCAUCCUAGGGGUGAGGAAUCUGAGGCCUUUAUCUACCCAUUCCCAUCAGCCAUUGGUUGAGAGUGUUAAUUCCAGCCCCACUGGCCUGCCGUGUGGGCGAAGUGGGCUCCAGCAGCUAGAGAAAGCAGAGGAUCACAGGUGCUGGCAGUUGAAGUCCAGUCGGUGAGCACAGACCUGGUGCAUACGAGCUAACAGGGGCGGGACACAGACAUGGGAGGCUGCAGUUCCCAAGGUGGACAAGCGGGACCCGCUCCUGAACCAUAAAGAAGGCCACAACCAAGAAAAGUCGUUUGCAUGAUCUUCAGAGUGUGAUGAUUGUAUGGGAGCCCUGAGUAAUCUACCCAGUAAGGAACAGCUGAGAAUACAGGAACUGGACCCGUCCUACAUCCCUAGGCCAUUGGGCAUGAAGUAUAAACACCACGAGGAGCUGGAACAGUUCAGACACCCCCUGCUGGUGAGGACCAGCUGCUGCCAUCCUGACAGCCUCCUGCCUCCUGCCGUGUGUCGACCGAUUCUGGAGUUUGUCUUCAGAUUUUUGUCAAAUGAAGACAGAUCCGCGGCCGCGGUGUCCCGCUCCUGCUGUUGCGCCUUGCUCCCACACGGUGGCACUGUUGAAGACAGCCCCGGAGAGUCCAAAAGAUGCUGCAGGCCCGCGGCAGAGUUGACAGUGAUGAUUGCCGUGGUUCUUUGAGGAAGGAUAACCCCAGCCUAAUGGAACCCCAUACUUCAGCCCUAAAGUUUUCAGUUCUUACUAUUUGCUCUUUCACCCUAAAUACCCAGCCACAUUUCCAGGAACAAGUCAAGCUCCAUUUGCACUGUGACUGCGAUGUGUGAUUCGAGACCCAAACCUCUGUCCCUUCCCCUCCCCUAGUGUAUGGGUGUAUGGCAGCUUUUCCACUUGAACUCGUAAAAUGCAGGGUCUCAUUCUCCCUAUUUCUCACACCAAUUGCCCUCCUUUCCACAGUUCCUAACGUAUUUCCAUUCCUGCCUAUUCUGUGUGGUCAGUUUCCCUUAUUACACAGUUAUGGUUAUAUAAUAAUUACACCCCUGGCAAAACAUCUUUAGCAGGCAUCGACUAUUGAUCCUAGGAGGGGGACAGAUUUUAAAUUACUUUGAUAAAGAACUUGCACAGUCUAGAGCUCUAUCAUGGCUGCUGCAAGAGAAAGUGAGCUCCUCUUCUCCAGAAAUACAAACAAGGGGCUAUUUGAGCAUCCCCCAGACCAAUAUCCCAACAGGCAUGCACGACAGAGAUUCCUUCUGUCGUCACGACGGUGGGGCUCAGAGAGGACAAGGCUCUCUUUGUAUUAACUGGCAAACCCCCAGUCCCCCAAAUGUGCCCACUGUCACAGUUUUCCCUCUUUUGUCGAAACUAAUGAGUCACGAUUCAAGCAAUGUUUUACUGUGACUCUGAAACCAUU
rnacentral:lncRNA from 1 species